UCUCUGGGGUCCACGGCUGAGAACCACUAGGACUCGGAUUCCUCUGUUUUCGUCGCUCGGCCGCGAACACCCGAGAUCCUAACUACCGAUCCCACCAAUAUUAUGACGGCACUCUGGCCGUCGACCCCCUUCGUUGGCCUCCUCCCUCCCGCACAAGUUCUGUGCCUGCCGUUUCUAAUUCGCUUGUUGUCAUCUUCGGUGUGUGUCUUUCGGUCACGAGCGAGAGAGACCAAGCGGGGAUUCCAACCCACCCAUCUAUCGAGAAAGUAAUGGGAAACGUGGUUGGGCAUCUCCGGGUCAGGGCGGUGGUUGGCGUCGACCUCGUCCAGCGUUCGUCCUCAUCGUCCUCAGGGCGAUCAGAAAAGGAGUAAUUUGAAUCAAGAGUGGAACGAGGACUUGAAUUUAUCUCUCAGAUACCAUCUAUCCCUUAAGCUUUCUUUCCAGUGUCGUCAUGGGAAGGCGUACCUGUUCAAUCAUGGUACAAAUAUCUCUGUCGGAGACGAAGAAGAGAGAGUGCUGUUUUCUGGAAUGCACACCGUAGCUGACAUUUUCUGCUGCUGCUGUGGACAAAAUGUUGGUUGGAAAUACAUGAUGAUCUCAAAGCUGUUGGAAGUCAAUUUUAUAUGCGGGCUAACACAUUGUAACCGGGUUCGAUCAUGUUUGACAACUGAGCCAUGUGGAAUGCGCUAAUGUGGUCGCACAAGAGAAGAUCCAAAAGUACAAAGAAGGAAAAUUCGUCUUGGAAAGGUAACUCUGUGGUUGUUCCAAGAUUUGAUUCUGUUAAAUCUGCGGGGAGGAAUUGAUGGGCGGGCUACCUCGACAUUUUGCAGGGGUAGAAUAGCUGAUGGAACUGACUUGGAGUUCUACGUCGAUACCCGUCCGAGCGGGAGUGGUAGUGUACGAUGUUUUGACGUGGAUCAGCUCAUAAACUAUUUUGAUGUUGAAUUUAUGUUCUUGGGUUUCAUUUGGUGGAUCAUUAUUAUUGAUUAUAUUUGAAUUGUUCACCUGUGGAAACACAA